GACGAACGCUGGCGGCGUGCUUAACACAUGCAAGUCGAACGGUAAGGCUCCAGCUUGCUGGGGUACACGAGUGGCGAACGGGUGAGUAACACGUGGGUGACCUGCCCUGCACUUCGGGAUAAGCCUGGGAAACUGGGUCUAAUACCGGAUAGGACCAUGGUGUGGAUACUGUGGUGGAAAGUUUUUUCGGUGUGGGAUGGGCCCGCGGCCUAUCAGCUUGUUGGUGGGGUAAUGGCCUACCAAGGCGGCGACGGGUAGCCGGCCUGAGAGGGUGGACGGCCACAUUGGGACUGAGACACGGCCCAGACUCCUACGGUAGGCAGCAGUGGGGAAUAUUGCACAAUGGGCGGAAGCCUGAUGCAGCGACGCCGCGUGGGGGAUGACGGCCUUCGGGUUGUAAACUCCUUUCACCAUCGACGAAGGGUUUCUGACGGUAGAUGGAGAAGAAGCACCGGCUAACUACGUG
rnacentral:rRNA from 1 species